UACGUAGGGUGCGAGCGUUGUCCGGAAUUAUUGGGCGUAAAGAGCUCGUAGGCGGUUUGUCGCGUCGUCCGUGAAAACCUGGGGCUCAACUCCAGGCUUGCGGUCGAUACGGGCAGGCUCGAGUUCGGUAGGGGAGACUGGAAUUCCUGGUGUAGCGGUGAAAUGCGCAGAUAUCAGGAGGAACACCGGUGGCGAAGGCGGCAUCCUGGACCGACAUUGACGCUGAGGAGCGAAAGCCAGGGGAGCAAACGGG
rnacentral:rRNA from 1 species